GAUGAACGCUGGCGGCGUGCUUAACACAUGCAAGUCGAACGGUGAAGGCGGAGCUUGCUCUGCUGGAUCAGUGGCGAACGGGUGAGUAACACGUGAGCAAUCUGCCCCUGACUCUGGGAUAAGCGCUGGAAACGGCGUCUAAUACUGGAUACGAGCUGCGAAGGCAUCUUCAGCAGCUGGAAAGAAUUUCGGUCAGGGAUGAGCUCGCGGCCUAUCAGCUUGUUGGUGAGGUAAUGGCUCACCAAGGCGUCGACGGGUAGCCGGCCUGAGAGGGUGACCGGCCACACUGGGACUGAGACACGGCCCAGACUCCUACGGGAGGCAGCAGUGGGGAAUAUUGCACAAUGGGCGAAAGCCUGCUGCAGCAACGCCGCGUGAGGGACGACGGCCUUCGGGUUGUAAACCUCUUUUAGCAGGGAAGAAGCGAAAGUGACGGUACCUGCAGAAAAAGCGCCGGCUAACUACGUG
rnacentral:rRNA from 1 species